rnacentral:rRNA from 1 species
ACGUAGGGGGCAAGCGUUGUUCGGAAUUACUGGGCGUAAAGGGCAUGUAGGCGGUUUAGUAAGCUUGGCGUGAAAGACCACGGCUUAACUGUGGGGUUGCGUUGAGAACUGCUGAACUUGAGUUACGGAGAGGGAGCUAGAAGUCCUGGUGUAGAGGUGUAAGGCGUAUAGAUCAGGAGGAAUAGCGAAAGCGAAGGCAUGCUUCUGGAUUAUAUCUGACGCUGAAGUGCGAAAGUGUGGGGUUCAAACAG